CCGAGCAGCUGGGGUGGCAGCGGUACCCUGUACUAGCAAUCCGCUAUAGCUAGAGUGAUAUUCUGCCUCGGGUCUUAGAUGUUAAGGCAGCCCUUUGUAAGUGGCGUUGACGUUUGGGUCUUACGCAACGGAAAUCUGUGAACCGUGUCAGGUCAGGAAUGAAGCAGCACUAAGCAGAACCUUUCGUGUGCCGUGAGGGUGCCUGGACUGAGUUAACUGCAAAGGUAACGUUUGGCAUCGGGAUUCAAAGCAGAAUGCUCGG
rfam:Clostridiales bacterium 36_14 Ley3_66761_scaffold_4861, whole genome shotgun sequence.